rnacentral:rRNA from 1 species
CCAACAGGGAUUGCCCUAGUAACGGCGAGUGAAGCGGCAACAGCUCAAAUUUGAAAUCUGGCCUCUUCGGGGUCCGAGUUGUAAUUUGCAGAGAGAGCUUUGGCGUUGGUUGUGGUCUAAGUUCCUUGGAACAGGACGUCGCAGAGGGUGAGAAUCCCGUAUGUGGCCGCCAGCCUUCGCCGUGUAAAGCCUUCUCGACGAGUCGAGUUGUUUGGGAAUGCAGCUCUAAAUGGGAGGUAAAUUUCUUCUAAAGCUAAAUAUUGGCCAGAGACCGAUAGCGCACAAGUAGAGUGAUCGAAAGAUGAAAAGCACUUUGGAAAGAGAGUCAAAAAGCACGUGAAAUUGUUGAAAGGGAAGCGCUUGCAGCCAGACUUGCUUGCGGUUGUUCAGCCGGGCUCCUGCCCGGUGUACUCUUCCGCACGCAGGCCAGCAUCAGUCCGGGCGGUCGGAUAAAGGCCCAUUAAACGUACCUCCCCUCGGGGAGGACUUAUAGGGUGGGUGCCAUGCGACCAGCCUGGAUUGAGGUCCGCGCAUCUGCUAGGAUGCUGGCGUAAUGGCUGUAAGCGGCCCGUCUUGAAACACGGACCAAGGAGUCUAACAUCUAUGCGAGUGUUUGGGUGUCAAGCCCGAGCGCGUAAUGAAAGUGAACGGAGGUGGGAACCUUUCGGGGUGCACCAUCGACCGAUCCUGAUGUCUUCGGAUGGAUUUGAGUAAGAGCAUAGCUGUUGGGACCCGAAAGAUGGUGAACUAUGCCUGAAUAGGGUGAAGCCAGAGGAAACUCUGGUGGAGGCUCGCAGCGGUUCUGACGUGCAAAUCGAUCGUCAAAUUUGGGCAUAGGGGCGAAAGACU